CCUGGUGGCUCAGGGGUUAAAGUGUCUGCCUGCAAUGCGGGAGACCGGGGUUCGAUCCCUGCAUCGGGA
rnacentral:tRNA from 1 species